GACGAACGCUGGCGGCGUGCUUAACACAUGCAAGUCGAACGGAAAGGCCCUGCUUUUGUGGGGUGCUCGAGUGGCGAACGGGUGAGUAACACGUGAGUAACCUGCCCUUGACUUUGGGAUAACUUCAGGAAACUGGGGCUAAUACCGGAUAGGAGCUCCUGCUGCAUGGUGGGGGUUGGAAAGUUUCGGCGGUUGGGGCUGGACUCGCGGCUUCUCAGCCUGUUGGUGGGGUUGUGGCUUACCAAGGCUUUGACGGGUAGCCGGCCUGAGAGGGUGACCGGCCACAUUGGGACUGGGAUACGGCCCAGACUCAUACGUGAGGCAGCAGUGGGGAAUAUUGGACAAUGGGCGGAAGCCUGAUGCAGCAACGCCGCGUGCGGGAUGACGGCCUUCGGGGUGUAAACCGCUUUCGCCUGUGACGAAGCGUGAGGGACGGUAAUGGGUAAAGAAGCACCGGCUAACUACGU
rnacentral:rRNA from 1 species